CGCCUGGGGAGUACGGUCGCAAGAUUAAAACUCAAAUGAAUUGACGGGGGCCCGCACAAGCGGUGGAGCAUGUGGUUUAAUUCGAUGCAACGCGAAGAACCUUACCUACUCUUGACAUCCAGAGAAGCCAGCGGAGACGCAGGCGUGCCUUCGGGAGCUCUGAGACAGGUGCUGCAUGGCUGUCGUCAGCUCGUGUUGUGAAAUGUUGGGUUAAGUCCCGCAACGAGCGCAACCCUUAUCCUUGUUUGCCAGCGAGUAAUUCGGGAACUCCAGGGAGACUGCCGGUGAUAAACCGGAGGAAGGUGGGGACGAUGUCAAGUCAUCAUGGCCCUUACGAGUAGGGCUACACACGUGCUACAAUGGCAUAUACAGAGGACUGCCAACUCGCGAGAGUGAGCGAAUCCCAUAAAGUAUGUCGUAGUCCGGAUUGGAGUCUGCAACUCGACUCCAUGAAGUCGGAAUCGCUAGUAAUCGUGGAUCAGAAUGCCACGGUGAAUACGUUCCCGGGCCUUGAACACACCGCCCGUC
rnacentral:rRNA from 1 species